rnacentral:rRNA from 1 species
AGAGUUUGAUCCUGGCUCAGGAUGAACGCUAGCGGCAGGCUUAACACAUGCAAGUCGAGGGGCAUCGGGAGGGAAGCUUGCUUUCCUUGCCGGCGACCGGCGCACGGGUGAGUAACACGUAUGCAACCUGCCCUCUUCAGGGGGACAACCUUCCGAAAGGGAGGCUAAUCCCGCGUAUAUCGGUUUCGGGCAUCCGAGAUCGAGGAAAGAUUCAUCGGAAGAGGAUGGGCAUGCGGCGCAUUAGCUUGACGGCGGGGUAACGGCCCACCGUGGCGACGAUGCGUAGGGGUUCUGAGAGGAAGGUCCCCCACACUGGUACUGAGACACGGACCAGACUCCUACGGGAGGCAGCAGUGAGGAAUAUUGGUCAAUGGGAGAGAUCCUGAACCAGCCAAGCCGCGUGAGGGAAGACGGCCCUAUGGGUUGUAAACCUCUUUUGUCGGAGAACAAAACCCGGGAUGUGUCCCGGACUGCGUGUAUCCGAAGAAAAAGCAUCGGCUAACUCCGUG